AUGGUAAGGAGAAGAUUUGAGGUGAUCAAUACCGAGUGUUUCGGAAAGCUUUUUGAACAGAUCGCUUUCAAACUGUCGACCGCGGUCGGUGGUGAUUUUGCUAGGUACACCAAACCUAGCAAUCCAGUGUGUGACGAAUGCGCGUGCGACGGUAUCAGCCGUCAUGUUUGGUAAGGGAAUCGCCUCCGGCCAACGCGUAAACUUAUCGAUAAGGGUUAAACAAUAGGCAUUUCCUUCGGACGGAGGUAAAGGGCCGAUGAGAUCCAUGUGCACGUGCUGGAAUCUGUGUUGUGGUACUUCGAUGUGUUCUGCUUCGGUGAAAUUGUGUCUAGUUACCUUGCUUCUUUGGCAUUCUAUGCAGUUUUUUACGAAUUGUUUACAGUCCUUUCUCAGGGCUGGCCAAACGUAGCGUUGUGAAACAAGAUGCGUGGUAGCUCGAAUGCCGGGAUGAGAAAUACCAUGUAUUUUUUUAAUUACGUGUGCUCGGAGUGCUUCGGGAGCUAGUGGUCGGAUUUCUUGUGUGGAAACGUCGCAAUAUAGUGUACCUUUUUUCGAUGGUAGUUCCAAUUCCUUCAGAACAAUUGAGCUAGAUUGUGGUGGGUUCCUUAUGAAUUUUUGUAUGUCAUUAUCCAUUCUCUGUAGCUCUGCCAUUUUUUCGUAAUCGAUGGAACCGGAAGAGACGGCUUCGAUGCGACUUAGCAUGUCUGCAACGUUGUUUUCGUUACCAGGGAUGUGGCGAAUAUCUGUUGAAUAUUCGCUAAUGAAAGCCAGUCGUCGCUGCUGAGUGGGGUUAGCUCGCUCUGGACGUUGGUGAAACGCCGUCACUAAGGGCUUGUGGUCGGUGUAAAUGCAAAAUGUUCGUCCUUCAAGAAAAUCGCGAAAGUAUUUAACUGAUUCAUAUAUGGCAUACAGUUCCCUAUCAUACGUGCUUGCUUUUAGCAUGCUGGUGCAUAGUUUUUUUGAAAAGAAUGCUAAGGGUGUUAUGCCUUUUUUUCCACCUGAUGGAGUGCGCCUCCUAUGGCAACAUUCGAAGCGUCGACGUACAAGCUGAGUUUAGCAUAUGGUGAUGGAUGAGCGAGUAAUGUUGCACUCACCAAUUCUUUUUUAGAGUUUUCAAAUGCAUCAAUUGUCUCUUUGUUCCAGUUAAGUGGAGUAUUGUCAUUUCGCACAUUUCCUGGUAUCAUUUUUUGUAAAACGUGCUGAUUUGCAGCCGCGUGCGGGAUAAAACGCCGGUAAAAAUUUAUCGUGCCAAGGAAUGUUUUUAGUUGUUUUGUAACCUUCGGUCUUGGGAAAUCGAUAAUGGCUUGUACUUUUGAUGGGUUCGGUUUGAUUCCCUCCGGAGUUAUUAAAUGACCGAGGAAAGUUACGGAAGAUUUUCCUAUUUGGCAUUUAUCAGCGUUAAUUGCUAAACCAUUUUCUCUUAGGCGUUUAAAAACUGUUUCGAGGUGCAUUUUGUGAUUUUCUCUGCUACUCGAGGCGAUGCAUAAAUCAUCUAUAUACGGGAAAACGUACGGGAGAUCGCAAAAUAUUGCGUGUAGGUAGCGUUGUAGGGUUUGUCCAGCGUUUCUCAACCCGAACGUCAUAAAGUUAAACUCAUACAAGCCAAACGGAGUGGUUAUGGCUGUUUUUGGGAUGUCUUGCUUUGCUACAGGAAUCUGGUGGUAUGCGCGCUGCAGAUCUAUACAUGAAAACACGUUAUUGCCGUGUAGUAUAUUGCUUACGUCUUGUAUGUGUGGUAUAGGAUAUCGGUCUGGUUCGGUCACCGCGUUUAAGCCUCUGUAGUCGCCGCACGGUCUCCAGUUACCGUUAGGUUUUUUAACCAUGUGCAGUGGACUGGCCCAGCUGCUUUUAGACGGUUUGCAAAUGCCUUGUUCUACCAUGUAUUGGAAUUCGGUUUUAGCUGCUUGUAGUUUUUCUAAAGGCAAUCUGCGUGGUUGGCAGAAAAUAGGCGGGCCAGUAGUGAGUAUUUGGUGUUCCACCGUUUUAGUAGUUUUAUGUUUAGUGUUCAGCUUUGUGAUAUCUUUGUAUCGUUCAACUAUGCUGGCAAAUUGUUUGUUUAUGCAAAUUGUUGAAAUAGUAUUCUUAUUUUGACUUUUUGUACUUUGAAUCGCGAGUUUUGUCGAGUUGUCUAUUAAUCUCUUUCUCUUAGCAUCGGCUAAUAGAUCGUAAAACUCGAGAAAAUCCGCACCUAUUAUAGGCGUACUGACGUCGGCGACAACAAAUGUCCAUGAGAAUUUUCUCUCGAGUCCCAAAUCAAGACUUAACGUUUUUGCCCAUAUGUAGCUAUUUGUGUGCCGUUUGCGGCUGAAAGUUUUCGUGAAGGCGAAGGGUUAAGUCUCUCUUUCGUAUUUGGUGGAAUAACCGAUAUCUCGGCGCCGGUGUCGAUUAAAAAACGGUGAUGUGAAAUGUUAUCGGUAAUGUGUAUUCGGCAUAUUUGUACAGAGUUAGUGUUAGUGUUGCUUUUACUUCUCGCAGGUGCUAACGAUGGUGAGUGCGGUUGAGGUCGAUCUACGGUGUGUGCGUUACCAGGUGCGAGUGGUGUCUCACCGUGAGUGAUGGUGUUCUCGGCAAAUCUGAGUGUUUCAGAACGUGUAGCGUUUGGUGGUAUAUGUGGUUCAGUGUAUGGUGAGUGGCUUCGUGGUGCGCUAUGGGAUGAUAAAAUGAAUGUUUGAGUUCGUGUUGCGCUAUGUGGUGAUGAAAUGAAUGUUUGAGAUGGUUUUACGUGAGUGUCUCUUGCUGGGAGUAAAAAUCGAACUAUUUUUUUGGUUGUGUUGGCAUCAGCUCGUCGAAAAAAAUGCAUCGAGUGUUAUGAUCAUUUGGAUGAUCUUUCUCACAUCUUUCGGCUUUGUUGCCAAAACGCAAAUGAAACCAGCAUAUCCAUCUGCGCGGUGAUUUGUUGCGUGGUUGAGAGGGGGAACGUCUGCCCCAUGGCUCUCUUAUUCUGGAACGUUGCCGAGGUCGAUGCUCGUACGCUCUAGGUUGUUGCACUGCGAGCACUUCCUCAAGACGCUGCGAAAGGGCUUCGAUUUUGCACUCUAGGGCAGCGAUUUGUGCCGUCGGCUCGUGACGGUUUUCAGCGGUUCGUGCGCUCACUGCUAAGACAUCGCUAUGGGGGGCUUCCAUAAUUUUGUCAGCUAUCGUAGCUUGCUCGUCUAAUGACGCGGAUGGCACUGCUGCUAUAAUUGACCGUAUCGUUGGUGUUAGCGCUCGCAACCAAAUGUUGGAUAGUAUGGUGUCAGGGCAAUCGUCUCCUCCCAUUCGACGCAUUUGGGCCAGGAGCUGGCUUGGUUUUUGGUCGCCGAGGGAUACGCCCGAUAAAAGGCUGGUCAACCUUUGGUUCUCCGAGGGCUGAAAAUGGUCGAUGACGGCCUUCUUAAUCGUUACGUAUUUGCCGAUUGUGCCCGCUUUGUUGCAUACUGCGAUGGCGGAGUGAAAGUGUUUGGCUUGAGACCCGAGUGCAACAAUAACUGCAUUGAACUUGUGCUUGUCGAGUUUCACUGCAUUCACGUAAAACGCUGCCUCGAGACACACGAACCAUGCCUCCACAUCUUCCGUAUCGAACGUCGGGAAACUGAUACGCGGUCCCGUUGCCGCGAUCUCCUGUUCCUCUUCGAUAGGCACGGCAGUUUCGGGUGUCGUCAUUUCGGGCAGCCCAAAAAAAAUGGAAAAAAAAUCGUGUAAAAAUUCACUUUCGGUCACGAUCACGUCGGGGUCACCAGUUUGGGGGGUUUUCCAAGUAGGGUUUCGGAUGAUGAGUUUGUAGCGGUUUUACUCACGUCCGUUCUCUUAGGUUGGUGAAAUAGAAGAGAGCGUUUAUUCGUAUAAUCGUGGGGAGAUUGUGUGGUCGGCUCAGAGCCCGGUUUAUGUCCUCAAGUUGAGCGUUUGUACCUUUAUAUAUUCACCACAGAUCUUUUGGAUUUUUUGGAGGAAGUUUAUAAAUGCUACGGAGUGAAAUGGGGUUAAAUCUAUUAUCAGUAACCACUUCUGUUGCGUCCAGCUUCAAAGCUCUUUCUUUCGCGUAGUAAAAGGUUGAAACUUCACUUUUCUUCACUGUAUUAAAAUAAAUAACUGAACUUGUUUCUCUAGGCGCGAUGAUAGAAAGAGGUCGAUUUUUGUCUUCGUGUUCGUUUUAAAACCUCGCGCAAACCCGGUUGCGGUCAUUUAACUUAAUUUGCGCAGGUUCAUCCGUUGCACGCGAAGCUCCUUCGGGAUGAACCAUUCCUACUCUCGCUAUUUGGCUUGUGUUUACUUCGCCUGUGCUACUUGUCCUUCUCUCUCAUUUCACCACAACACAGCUGUCAAGUUAGAGCCGCUGUUGAUAAAUAACACUGGCCCCGGUGUUUGACCGCGUCAAACUCUUUCGUGCGGUUCUAAGUUAAUUACGGCGAUUUUUACUACCGGUCGCUCUAUUAUCUUUUUGUUCGCUAGCUGUGUGUGUACACGCCGAGUCAUCGACAAUCAGCACGAGGUCUCCUAAUUUCAAUGGCGGCUGGGACACAAACCAUUUGCUGCGAUGGCGUAGUCCCCCUCCCCCUGCGUAGCACGGAUCCCCCUCCGGGGCCUCUGGCAGCCGUCCAGAGCCGCUGGGUACAGCUGGGGCAGAUCCACAAGAAUUGCGACGCAUUAGUUCAAGCAUGGAACCUACACCAAGGCAUGGCAGGGCGCACGUAGGAAUCCACCAACACUGUUAAAGAUGGAAUCAUACGACGCAGGUUUCCAAGUUGAGCAGGAAAACCUCAGAUGCAGCAAACACAAGACACCAUUGGCGUAGAAAGUAUACGAAAAACGUUGCACUGCGUAUCACAAGUACAGUAAGAUCACAAUAACUCGACACCGGGUUGGCAAGCGAUCAGGGAAGUACAACAACACAAAAAUCCGGCACAAACGCAAUGCCGAAAGUAAUGAGGACCUUACGCACGAGCUGUCAAAAAGUUCUAUGAGCCUGGUGUUCAUAUAAUUGGUGAGUCAAUAAUCAAGCCAGUUUUGUAAUUCACCCCUAGAUAAACAUUAUUUAAUCAAUAUAAAGUAAAUCAAAUAAAUCAAAAAGGUAGAGCCAUACGAA